UACGGAGGAUCCAAGCGUUAUCCGGAUUCAUUGGGUUUAAAGGGUGCGUAGGCGGAUUUGUAAGUCAGUGGUGAAAUCCUGCAGCUUAACUGUAGAACUGCCAUUGAUACUGCAAGUCUUGAGUACAUUUGAUGUGGGCGGAAUGUGUCAUGUAGCGGUGAAAUGCUUAGAUAUGACACAGAACACCGAUUGCGAAGGCAGCUCACAAAACUGUAACUGACGCUGAGGCACGACAGCGUGGGGAUCAAACAGGAUUAGAUACCCUGGUAGUCCACGCCGUAAACUAUGAUCACUCGAUGUUGGCGAUAUACAGCCAGCGUCUAAGCUAAAGCAUUAAGUGAUCCACCUGGGGAGUACGGUCGCAAGAUUGAA
rnacentral:rRNA from 1 species